rnacentral:rRNA from 1 species
GUGGGGAAUCUUGCGCAAUGGGCGAAAGCCUGACGCAGCCAUGCCGCGUGAAUGAUGAAGGUCUUAGGAUUGUAAAAUUCUUUCACCGGGGACGAUAAUGACGGUACCCGGAGAAGAAGCUCCGGCUAACUUCGUGCCAGCAGCCGCGGUAAUACGAAGGGGGCUAGCGUUGCUCGGAAUUACUGGGCGUAAAGGGCGCGUAGGCGGACAGCUUAGUCAGAGGUGAAAGCCCAGGGCUCAACCUUGGAAGUGCCUUUGAUACUGGCUGUCUUGAGUUUGGGAGAGGUGAGUGGAACGCCGAGUGUAGAGGUGAAAUUCGUAGAGAUUCGGAAGAACACCAGUGGCGAAGGCGACUCACUGGCCCAAUACUGACGCUGAGGCGCGAAAGCGUGGGGAGCAAACAGGAUUAGAAACCCCAGUAGUCC